rnacentral:lncRNA from 1 species
UUGAGCAUCACUUGGAAAUUUCUCCUUAGUAUUUCUUCGACCCCCUUUAACAGUACGGUGUUUCCUAUGACUCAAGAAAGAGAAGAUCAAACUAUGUAAACAAAAGUCUUCGCGCUUCAUGUUCCUCAAAUGAAUAUCAAGUCUUCAAGGUCACACCAAUUUCUUCACUUUCAAAGUCUUCAGAAAGUCUUCAGAAAUACAAAGUCUUCAGUUGAAGAACUUCAUUUUUAGGGGUCGACUUUCUCUGUAAAUAUCAAACUCCUCAUAGACUUAUAGACCUGUGUACACUCACAAACGCAUCAGUCUCUUAACCUAUAAGUCUUCAAUACACCAAAAUCAGUAAGGGGCACUAGAUGCACUUACAACUAACCAUUACAAUAAGCAACCCAGUCCAUGAGCUAACCACGUGCUGAAGAUAAAAAAUUAGUAGUUGUGUGCCCCUACCCUGAGUAUAUCCACAUGGAAAGAACAGUGUUGCCCACGGAGGUGCCAGGUUGAAGAAAUGACACAUCCAAUUACCAUUGCUAGUGCCAAACCUGUGUAGUGAUGUAAAGUAAAUAUAGUAUAUCACCAUAUAAUUCAUGCACCUAGUCAUUAAAACUCUAAAGAAAUAGCCUGCAAGAUACGUAUCUCAUGAUCAAUUUUAUUCACAAAAUAUAGAUCCAAAUAGGAUGGAACAAAUCUAAAAAGAAAAUCUGGUGAUGCAGAUUGCAAACGAAUGUAUUUCAGGAGUUCCAUUUUUCAGUUUUAGCUCACUCUGCCACGAUUAAUGCAUGCUAAUAUGGUGUAUUAUUCACAGGUUUAUCCUCCUGCUGUUAUGUGAUAUUUUCUUUCCAACAGUUCAAAAGAUACCAGGUGUAAGAUUGUGCAUUAAGGGAACAAAAGUAAGAACAUGCAGAAAAUAGAUCUAAACAGGUCAGAGCAUACUCAAACAACAACAAUUUGUUAAGCAUGGAUAAUCAAUUGAUAUUGUGCAGUCAGAGUUUUUUCUACCUAAGACCUCCUGUUGAUGUAGACAGAUACUUUUGUCCUAUGUAAAUCCCCUGCAUCAGUUCAUCCGAGCCAUUAAUCCCUGAAUGGUAAAAAAGGAGAAAAUUUAGUCGGUAUCGGCAACGGAGCUACUGGAACCUGUCAGGUUCACUUAACCGUGAGUGCAAGCAGGACCAUCAAUAAUGUUUAUAGAUGUUACUAGACCCCGCAAAAAGUACAACAUCCCAUGAAAUAUGGCCAAAGGCAAUAGUUCCAACUUGUCACGAAGCACAGACUUCAGAAUAGCCUGAAGCAUGAAGCAAUGCACACAUCUCACAUUAUAAUCUGAAAGGUCAAAUAACACACAUGGUUUUUCAUAGGUCAAAAUUAAUGGCUCUGCUCUGGAGGAAGCUUCAAGUUUCUGUUGAAGUCAAAACAGAUGCGCUAAUCUUACUAUAAGUGCAUCAAAAUGCAGUUAAACACUAAGAUAGUGGAAUCAUAAUAUUAUUUACUUGGGGGAUUCUUCGCCCGUAUCAUCUUCUCCAAGCUCACUGGCUCGAAGGACAGUCUCCAGCAUCCUAGCUGUCUGAUAUCUCAACACAAAUGCCCUCUGUUCAGGAAAGAACCCUAUCUGUGCACUAAACAAUAUACCUCGCUAAAAAUGCUCACAGCCCAAAAAUGUAAAAACAUAAUGACCAAGAACUUCAGUCCACUUGCUGAUAUUUACCUACGGUGAACAUGUUGGUUUCUUUGAUCUUGUGCUGCCCACUCUGGCUCGGGAUCAUCUUCG